CUCCAUCCAUGGAGUUUUAACCUUCAAAUUCAUCUUCUUCUAUGGAGCUAGUGCCUGCCUGAGCCUGAUCCAAGACCUGCGCUCAUCAGACACACUGCGAGAGGCUGUGAACCUGCAGCAAUAUCCGACCGCCUCCAUCUUCAGCUAUGCCCACCCGCCUGCACCCCAUGCUCAGCGUAUGCUCCCAAUCCUUGGUGCUUUUCUGAGGUGAAACCCAGAUGCCCAAAAUGUUGAUGCCCAACUCCUUUUGAAGAGGUUGGCAGAGGAGACGAGUCAAAGCCUUCCUUCGGAGCUUGGAGGAGUCAAGCUAAGGCUUCCCGCUGCCCCCAAAGGGCAUUCCCACAGCGAGGAGUGGUUUGAAGGGGGGUGGCUGGGCUUUCCACACCUGGAGCAGUGAGAAGAGUCUCCCCUGGCAGGUCCGUUCAGUAUGCUGCCAUGCUGGCCACCGCCUUAUCCCGGCCCACCAGAGGAACCUCCACCCUACUCUGAAGUGGACGCAGCCAGCCCAGGGGAGAACCCAGCGCACAGUUGCUGCUGCAGCAUCCUGAAGGGAGGACAGGAGGACAGACCGAACUGAGGACUCGGCGUGGAAAUGUACAGGCACCGACUCACCCCCUGCUUUUCCCUCCCCAGCAGGACUCAGCCAGCAGGACAUUGAUCUCGCUGGGAGCCCAGCUGCCCCCUCUCACACUCCCCAGCACGUGGACAGCAUUUAGGCAGCCUCCCUGGGAGACGCCGUCUUGUUCCUCCACUUACCUGGAGCUGUGGUCGCACACCAGUUGUUACUGCACUGCAGUAACUCCCCAGUGCAGAGAGCUCUGUUGUUUCCCGGGAAUAGUGUGAACCGAGAGUUCAGAGCUCUGGUUUGUGAUUCCCAGCUUUUGGGACCGGCAGAUCCCUUCACAUCCCUGUUCUCAGCGUGAGGAUGUGUGUUGUUCCCCUCCCAUACUGGGUCCACAGCCUCUCAAUUAAUAGCAGUUCUGUGGUGAUUUCUAUGGACUUAAUGUAAUUUCUCCCCUCUCUAGAGAAGGUUCAUUUCAGCGGAAGAUUUUCUGGUUUUCUAGUUACACUGAUUUACUGUGCACAGGCAUGUAAGAGGGUAGUUUCAGGAAGGCACCAAUUUGGGCUGGCUGGGAAGUUCUGGCAGUGGGUCAGCACAGUGAGCACCGCUCUUCUGGUGCCAGUCAGGCUUCUCCCGAAAGGAAGCCUUUGAGCUGGCCAGUCCCAGCUCCAGGAGGAUUGUUUGAUAGCCAUAUCCCCCAGCCAAGAACGAUCCAGCCUCAGACUCUGCACUUCGGAUUUUGCAGCCCGCCUUGUCUCAGGCGGUGUUGGCGUUGGUGUUGGGUCACAAAUCAAAAUACAGGCUUCAACUAAGCUGACCCCUUGGGCUGUAUUGGCUCCUCCGUUUCACCGUUGUAAAACAGGCUAAUGAAUCCCUUGAGAGCCUCAGCAGAGAAGCGCCCCGGUGGGAAGCGCGUCCUGUGUUCGGCCGCGGGCUGUGCGCAGCGGCGCAGGCGUCCCCGCGCAGAUAGCACCCACGGCAGCCACGCGGCAGGAGCCUGCGGGCUGACGCUCCAUGCCCCUGGAUGAAGCGCGGCAGCUGAUGCGUUUUGUGAAUGACUUUCACUGUCCUUUCUCUCUCCAGGUCACUGGAAGCUGGAGCCAUUAGUAUUUGUGGAGUAUUAAAUCUAGACUGGUUACAGA